GGCAAGAUGGCCGAGUGGUCUAAGGCGUGUGACUCAAGCGUUAAGCUUGCCUUCUUUCGAAGGUUUCUCAUGAGGGUAUCCUCGCGGGGGUUCGAAUCCCCCUCUUGUCA
rnacentral:tRNA from 1 species